rnacentral:rRNA from 1 species
AUUCGGUCAGCGGCGGACGGGUGAGUAACACGUGGGCAACCUGCCCGCAAGACCGGGAUAACUCCGGGAAACCGGAGCUAAUACCGGAUAACACCGAAGACCGCAUGGUCUUYGGUUGAAAGGCGGCCUUUGGGCUGUCACUUGCGGAUGGGCCCGCGGCGCAUUAGCUAGUUGGUGAGGUAACGGCUCACCAAGGCGACGAUGCGUAGCCGGCCUGAGAGGGUGACCGGCCACACUGGGACUGAGACACGGCCCAGACUCCUACGGGAGGCAGCAGUAGGGAAUCUUCCGCAAUGGGCGAAAGCCUGACGGAGCGACGCCGCGUGAGCGAAGAAGGCCUUCGGGUCGUAAAGCUCUGUUGUGAGGGACGAAGGAGCGCCGUUCGAAGAGGGCGGCGCGGUGACGGUACCUCACGAGAAAGCCCCGGCUAACUACGUGCCAGCAGCCGCGGUAAUACGUAGGGGGCGAGCGUUGUCCGGAAUUAUUGGGCGUAAAGCGCGCGCAGGCGGUCUCUUAAGUCUGAUGUGAAAGCCCACGGCUCAACCGUGGAGGGUCAUUGGAAACUGGGGGACUUGAGGGCAGGAGAGGAGAGCGGAAUUCCACGUGUAGCGGUGAAAUGCGUAGAGAUGUGGAGGAACACCAGUGGCGAAG